AGUGGUCGGGGCGAUUAUUGGGCCUAAAGCAUCCGUAGCCGGUUCUGCAAGUCCCCCGUUAAAUCCAGCUGCUCAACAGAUGGGCCGCGGAGGAUACUACAGAGCUAGGAGGCAGGAGAGGCAAGCGGUACUCAGUGGGUAGGGGUAAAAUCCGUUGAUCCAUUGAAGACCACCAGUGGCGAAGGCGGCUUGCCAGAAUGCGCUCGACGGUGAGGGAUGAAAGCUGGGGGAGCAAACCGG
rnacentral:rRNA from 1 species